ACUGAUCAUCGACUGGCUCUUUGUCCCCUCUUUAAAAACUAUGACCGAUCAAAGAACACAAAAUGUGAGUCUAAUUGUUCUUUAAGAAAAGAGGCCGGGCGUGGUGGCGCACGCCUUUAAUCCCAGCACUGGGGAGGCAGAGGCAGGCGGAUUUCUGAGUUCGAGGCCAGCUUGGUCUACAAAGUGAGUGCCAGGACAGCCAGGGCUAUACAGAGAAACCCUGUCUCAAAAAACCAAAAAAAAAAAAAAAAAAAAGAAAGAAAAGAGAUGCUCUCGGGCAGUGGUGGCCCAUGCCUUUAAUCCCAGUGCUUGGAAGGCAGAGGCAGGCGGAUUUCUGAGUUCAAGGCCAGCCUGGUCUACAGAGUGAGUUCCAGGACAGCCAGGGCUAUACAGAGAAACCCUGUCUCAAAAACAAAAACAAACAAAAAAAACAAGCAAACAAACAAACAUAAAAAGAGAUGCUCUCAGCAGCCCGCCUCAGCCUCCCAGAUGUGAGCAUGUCAGGUGUGCACUACUGAACCUGGUUUGAGCAUAAAUAUACGGCAGUUCAUUCUAAUUUUCUCCCCAAGGCAAAGUUCAAUCCUGAGAAAGUCCUGGACUAUUUGGAAUCCUGUAAGACUCCAUGUGGUAGGUAACCACACUUUAGGCCAUAAAUGAUGUGUGUAUUGUAUUAGCUAUAAAUUUUGGUAAUACACCAAAUAUAUCUUCUUUCCCUGCUGAUCCUGUAAUGUUUGUUUGUUUCUGGCCUAGCAUUCACUCUGUAGGCCAGGCUAGUCUUAGACUCAGAGAUAUGGCUACCACUACCUCUCAAGCCCUGGGAUUAAAGGCAUGCACCACCAAACCCUAAACAUCUCCACC
rnacentral:lncRNA from 1 species